rnacentral:rRNA from 1 species
AGUGAACGCUGGCGGUAGGCCUAACACAUGCAAGUCGAACGGCAGCACAGUAAGAGCUUGCUCUUACGGGUGGCGAGUGGCGGACGGGUGAGGAAUACAUCGGAAUCUACUUUUUCGUGGGGGAUAACGUAGGGAAACUUACGCUAAUACCGCAUACGACCUACGGGUGAAAGCAGGGGAUCUUCGGACCUUGCGCGAUUGAAUGAGCCGAUGUCGGAUUAGCUAGUUGGCGGGGUAAAGGCCCACCAAGGCGACGAUCCGUAGCUGGUCUGAGAGGAUGAUCAGCCACACUGGAACUGAGACACGGUCCAGACUCCUACGGGAGGCAGCAGUGGGGAAUAUUGGACAAUGGGCGCAAGCCUGAUCCAGCCAGACCGAGUGGGUGAAGAAGGCCUUCGGGUUGUAAAGCCCUUUUGUUGGGAAAGAAAAGCAGCAGGUUAAUACCCCGCUGUUCUGACGGUACCCAAAGAAUAAGCACCGGCUAACUUCGUG